rnacentral:rRNA from 1 species
CUGGUUAUCUUAGUACUGCGAGUGAGCGGGAUGAGCUCAAAUUUAAAAUCUGGCGGUCUUUGUGGCCGUCCGAGUUGUAGUCUGGAGAAGUGUUAUCCGCGUCGGACCGUGUACAAGUCUCCUGGAAUGGAGCGUCAUAGAGGGUGAGAAUCCCGUCCAUGACACGGACGCCCGAUGCUUUGUGAGGCACUCUCGAAGAGUCGAGUUGUUUGGGAAUGCAGCUCAAAAUGGGUGGUAAAUUCCAUCUAAAGCUAAAUAUUGGCGAGAGACCGAUAGCGAACAAGUACCGUGAGGGAAAGAUGAAAAGCACUUUGGAAAGAGAGUUAAAUAGUACGUGAAAUUGUUGAAAGGGAAACGCUUGAAGUCAGUCGCGUCCCGUGGAACUCAGCCUGGCUUCGGCCUGGUGUAUUUUCUAUGCGGACGGGUCAACAUCAGUUUUGGCCGGCGGAAAAAGGCAGAGGGAAUGUAGCGCCGCUUCGGCGGCGUGUUAUAGCCCUCUGUCAAAUACGCUGGCGGGGACUGAGGACCGCAGCACGCCCUUGUGGCCGGGGGUUCGCCCCACGUUCGUGCUUAGGAUGUUGGCAUAAUGGCUUUAAGCGACCCGUCUUGAAACACGGACC